rnacentral:rRNA from 1 species
UACGAAGGGGGCUAGCGUUGCUCGGAAUCACUGGGCGUAAAGCGCACGUAGGCGGCUUUCUAAGUCAGGGGUGAAAUCCUGGAGCUCAACUCCAGAACUGCCUUUGAUACUGGAGAGCUUGAGUCCGGGAGAGGUGAGUGGAACUCCGAGUGUAGAGGUGAAAUUCGUAGAUAUUCGGAAGAACACCAGUGGCGAAGGCGGCUCACUGGCCCGUAACUGACGCUGAGGCACGAAAGCGUGGGGAGCAAACAGG